rnacentral:tRNA from 1 species
GCAGAUGUGGCAGAGUGGUCUUUCCAUCAGAAUUUGGAAACAUAGUAAUGCGUCGGCCUUGAGAGCCGAUUCGCCCUCGGGCGAUCAGGAGUUCGAAUCUCCUCAUCUGCG